UUUUGUUUGGUUUCUUGUUCCUUGACACACACAUAUAUGUGUGCAUAGAUACACAGUCACAUACCCAGACUCAAACCCUCACAUGGCUCCUCAUCUCUCCGUUUUCAUCCUCCUCAUCAUCAUUUCUUCCAGACUAUCAGUAAUGUCAAUGCCACUCCCCGAAGACACCGAAGACUCAUACUUAACAUCAGCGUACAGCGUGUAUAGAUCUGAAGACGUCAUUAGGACCUGAGCCCUAGGACCGUGCCCCAGGACUACAUGACAUGAUGACUCCUUGCUGUCCCCAGUCCACCUGACUGUGCUGCUGCUCCAGUUUAAACUGUUCUGCCUUAUUAUUAUUCGACCAUGCUGGUCAUUUAUGAACAUUUGAACAUCUCGGCCAUGUUCUGUUAUAAUCUCCACCCGGCACAGCCAGAAGAGGACUGGCCACCCCACAUAGCCUGGUUCCUCUCUAGGUUUCUUCCUAGGUUUUGGCCUUUCUAGGGAGUUUUUCCUAGCCACCGUGCUUCUACACCUGCAUUGCUUGCUGUUUGGGGUUUUAGGCUGGGUUUCUGUACAGCACUUUGAGAUAUCAGCUGAUGUACGAAGGGCUAUAUAAAUAAAUUUGAUUUGAUUUGAGUUAUGGUCUCAUUGUGCCGACCUUUGUAACUACAGAUGUGAAGCUGCAAGAACAUUAUAUUUAAAUGUAUAUUAAACCAUU